UACGGGGGGGGCAAGCGUUGUUCGGAAUUACUGGGCGUAAAGGGUUUGUAGGUGGCUUGUUAAGUCAGACGUGAAAUCCCUCAGCUUAACUGGGGAACUGCGUCUGAUACUGGCGAGCUUGAGUGCAGGAGAGGAACGCGGAAUUCCAGGUGUAGCGGUGAAAUGCGUAGAUAUCUGGAGGAACACCGGUGGCGAAGACGGCGUUCUGGACUGCAACUGACACUGAGAAACGAAAGCCAGGGUAGCAAACGGG
rnacentral:rRNA from 1 species